UGCCUAUAGAACAGCUGCCGCGGCCCACUGAAAGCUUCAAGCCGAGACCUGAGGUGCAUGAACCCUCCUUCUGAUAAGCUUCAGAGCAGAAAUGAUGCAACUGAGUCACAGAGAAGUUAAGUAAUCUGCCUGCCGACACUCGGGUCGAUGCCGCCUCAUUCCAUCACUCGGGCAAUGGAGCCAAAGGCCACGUUCACAACCACUAGGCUGUCCCAGCCCCUUGCUUCAAAGAUAGCCAGGCAGGAGUUAUUUUAUAGAAUGGAAGUAAUUUCUACGGGGCCAAGCAAUAAUAAGGAAAUUGGAAGUCAAGGACUAUCUUCCGAAUGGAGAAGAAGCUCCAUCAACCACAGAAGGAAAUUAUGAUCACUCCUGCCAUCCUGCUCCUUUGUGUAUCCAGGUAACCUCUAUCAAGAACGUGUGUUUCCCUAGGCUUAGAAUGGGGCUUUCUUCCAUCACUGUGGCCCACUCCGUUCUCCAACAUAACUCUUUUAGCAGCUUAAACUUCAAUUAUGACUCUGUAAUAAUUUGGUUGUGUGGCUAUUUCCACCACUUCCUACCCACCUUGGAAAGGUGUAUUUCCAGAGGUUAGGUCCUGGCAGCAGCUUCCAUGGACCCUCCAAGUUCAGAGGUGAGGGCUGAUUCAGCACUUUCCUGGCUGGACAGUUCCUGGCCCAAGCCUCUGGCUUCUUCUUCCCUGGCCUUCCACUCCCUUCCUCUCGUAAGGCUCUGGCAUCAGAUACAAGGACCCCAGUAGCUACAGAGGCCAGUGAAUGAGCAAUGAGCCUGCUGCAGAGCCUUCAUUUCUCAUUGUCUCUUCAUCCAGACCAAUUAGCCCUUCCACUGCCCUACAGUGAAAAAAAAAAUGAUGCAUGUGAACUUGGCAUCAUGGGGAGGCCCCCGAGGUGUAGGUAUUAAGUAUAUAUGAG
rnacentral:lncRNA from 10 species